CUCCCAGACGCUAGUUGCUAGAAGAGUCCUGGCAGUGGAGAGAAAGUUGGCUCUGCACUGAAGGCUCCACAUAAAGGGCUCAAAACGUGUGGUUCAGUGGUUAAAAGCUGUUCACGGGGAUGACUGGACCUCACUAAGCAUUCUUUCAUCUGUAGUGAACAUUUCACCAAAAAAAGCUCUUGGAAAGGCUGGAGGGUCAGUAUUACAUGCUCAAGCCACGGCCGUGCCUUCCAUCUUCCACCUGACUGAGAAGGGGUGGCUGAAGGCCACGGCUGCCCCAGGAGAAAGGACACCAGGAAGGCCGCCGGGGACCUGAGGAACAUGCGAGUGAAGCAGAUGGGAAAGGAGCUGCAGGUUCAUCGUUGUCCUUGAGGGAAAACCUGAGGGCCCAGCCGGGGUCGCGCAAGUUGAAACGAGCCACUCUGCAGGGUGAAUCUGCACCCAGUGCCACCCAGGAAGCCGCCAGUCAGGAUUGGGCGCAGAGUCUCUGGAAGGAACUCCAGGAGACAGUGUGGCCUCCACAGCGUCAGGCAGCCAGGGAGAUGCAAACACAUCUGCUGUAGAUGCUGGCGAUGAAACCCCCUCUUCCCUGCCAGGGCCUGCUAGCUAAAAGUGGCAUUUCCGUGGGUGACUUUAUCCCUCAGAAUCUGGGAUGUGCAGAUUUAUUGGCUGGCUUCCUUCUUACAGUUUCUUCUCAGAGCACACUCGAGAGAGGCCAUCUGUCCCUUGAGAAGCUGUUGACCAAAAGAGGCUGAAGAGAGAUGUGGAGCCCAGCUGCAGCGGGAGCAGCCUGAGGCCUGAUGAGAGCUUGGCCCAGAACCCCCAAGUUCAUCAUUCACAAUGAUACCUCAGAAAGCCUCCCAGAGCCCCUCCACUCCAACAGACAUCACCCCGAAGCCAGCCACAGAAGCUGUGCAGGGCGAGCACAGCAACACCGGCCCCACGUCCCUCAGAAAGGUCAUCCUGUCAGCCCUGGGGGCCCAAGAACUCCUCGACUCACUGCACUCCUACUGCUUCUGCUCCCAGGGGGACAGGAGCACGAGUGCUGCCUGCGGGAGCAGGUGGAGACAGACUGAGAGCUGAAGAGGGGCAGCCGCCGACAGCCAGGUGCACACGCUGCAGGAGGAGCUGGACGAGCUGAAGGGAGGGGGCUCCCUGCCUUAGCAGCCUGCUGCCCCCCGCUGAGCGCCAGCUGCAGAGCUCCAGCCAGCAGCAGAAGCAGAGCAGUGGGCAGUGGUGGAGGUAGAGCUGGCUCCAGCUCUGUUGACAUCACCCCUUCUAGCAUUGGAGCCAGCGUCCCCUCCAUCAGAAGUAUUGGACCUGGAGCAAGGGCCAACAUCGGCUCCAGCAGGAGUGGGAGCUGCUGAGCUGGGGUCACCUGGACCAUCAUUUCUAGUGGGAAGUCCAUCUCCACCUGUGCUUGUUAAGCAGCGUGAGAAGAAGCCUAACCUCUUGGC